rnacentral:sRNA from 1 species
UUUUAUAUUAUAAAUUCUACAUGUCGGCUCAUACAGUCCGCUGGGAUGCUGUAGACGGCAACAAAUUUAACUCACAAAAUCAUUUUUCCUUUGAAUAUACGUCUUCAAUACUCCCAAAAAU